GUAGUCAUAUGCUUGUCUCAAAGAUUAAGCCAUGCAUGUAUAAGUAUAAGCAAAUAUACUGCGAAACUGCGAAUGGCUCAUUAAAUCAGUUAUAAUUUACUUGGCGGUACCUUACUACUUGGAUAACCGUGGUAAUUCUAGAGCUAAUACAUGCUUAAAAGCGCGUCAAGCGCUGUAUUUAUUAGAUUAAAAACCAAUGCCCUCACGGGCUUCUUGGUGAAUCAUGAUAACUUAACGAAUCGCAUGGCCUUGAGCCGGCGAUGGUUCAUUCAAAUUUCUGCCCUAUCAACUUUCGAUUGGUGAGUAGUGUUCACCAAUGGUUUCGACGGGUAACGAAGAAUUAGGGUUCGAUCUCGGAGAGGAAGCCUGAGAAACGGCUUACACAUCCAAGGAAGGCAGCCGGCGCGCAAAUUACCCAAUCCCAAUUCGGGGAGGUAGUGACAAUAAAUACUGAUGCAGGGCUCUUUUGGGUCUUGCAAUUGGAAUGAGUACAAUCUAAACCUCUUAACGAGGAACAAUUGGAGGGCAAGUCUGGUGCCAGCAGCC
rnacentral:rRNA from 1 species